rnacentral:rRNA from 1 species
AUCGCCCUUUAAUAAGUGCCCGUACCGAUAACCGACACAGGUAGGCGAGGAGAGAAUCCUAAGAUGAGCGAGAGAACUCUUGUUAAGGAACUCGGCAAAAUGACCCCGUAACUUCGGGAGAAGGGGUGCUUGUGAAAGCAAGCCGCAGUGAAUAGGCCCAGGCGACUGUUUAUCAAAAACACAGGUCUCUGCUAAACCGCAAGGUGAUGUAUAGGGGCUGACGCCUGCCCGGUGCUGGAAGGUUAAGAGGAGAGGUUAGCGCAAGCGAAGCUUUGAAUUGAAGCCCCAGUAAACGGCGGCCGUAACAAUAACGGUCCUAAGGUAGCGAAAUUCCUUGUCGGGUAAGUUCCGACCCGCACGAAAGGCGUAACGAUCUGGGCGCUGUCUCAACAAGAGACUCGGUGAAAUCAUAGUACCUGUGAAGAUGCAGGUUACCCGCGACAGGACGGAAAGACCCCGUGGAGCUUUACUGUAGCUUGAUAUUGAGCACUGGUGGCACAUGUACAGGAUAGGCAGGAGACGAAGAAACCAGGACGCCAGUCUUGGUGGAGUCGCUGUUGGGAUACUACCCUUGUGUCACUGGGGUUCUAACCCGUGGCCCUUAUCGGGUCAGGGAACAGUGUCAGGUGGGCAGUUUGACUGGGGCGGUCGCCUCCCAAAGAGUAACGGAGGCGCCCAAAGGUUCCCUCAGAAUGGUUGGAAAUCAUUCGAAGAGUGUAAAGGCAGAAGGGAGCUUGACUGCGAGACCUACAAGUCGAGCAGGGACGAAAGUCGGGCUUAGUGAUCCGGCGGUACCGAAUGGAAGGGCCGUCGCCCAACGGAUAAAAGCUACCCCGGGGAUAACAGGCUGAUCUCCCCCAAGAGUUCACAUCGACGGGGAGGUUUGGCACCUCGAUGUCGGCUCAUCGCAUCCUGGGGCUGUAGUCGGUCCCAAGGGUUGGGCUGUUCGCCCAUUAAAGCGGUACGCGAGCUGGGUUCAGAGCGUCGUGAGACAGUUCGGUCCCUAUCCGUCGUGGGCGUAGGAAAUUUGAGAGGAGCUGUCCUUAGUACGAGAGGACCGGGAUGGACACACCGCUGGUUUACCAGUUGUUCUGCCAGGAGCAUAGCUGGGUAGCUACGUGUGGACGGGAUAAACGCUGAAAGCAUCUAAGCGUGAAGCCCCCCUCAAGAUGAGAUUUCCCAUUCGAAAGAAGUAAGAUCCCUUGAAGACGACGAGGUUGAUAGGUCAGGAGUGGAAGUGUGGUGACACAUGGAGCGGACUGAUACUAAUCGAUCGAGGACUUAAUC